rnacentral:rRNA from 1 species
UACAGAGGCCUCGAGCGUUAGGCGGAAUCACUGGGCUUAAAGCGUGUGUAGGCGGACUGGUAAGUACCUUGUGAAAUCCCACGGCUCAACCGUGGAACCGCUGGGUAUACUGGUUGUCUUGAGCCGGCUAGGGGCGAGCGGAACAGACGGUGGAGCGGUGAAAUGCGUAGAUAUCGCUUGGAACGCCAAAGGUGAAAACAGGUUGCUGGGGUUGUGCCGACGCUGAGACACGAAAGCCAGGGGAGCAAACGGG